rnacentral:rRNA from 1 species
AACGAACGCUGGCAGCAUGCCUAACACAUGCAAGUCGAACGAGACCUUCGGGUCUAGUGGCGCACGGGUGCGUAACGCGUGGGAACCUGCCCUUAGGUUCGGAAUAACUCCCCGAAAGGGGUGCUAAUACCGGAUAAUGUCUUCGGACCAAAGAUUUAUCGCCUUUGGAUGGGCCCGCGUUGGAUUAGCUAGUUGGUAGGGUAAAAGCCUACCAAGGCGACGAUCCAUAGCUGGUCUGAGAGGAUGAUCAGCCACACUGGGACUGAGACACGGCCCAGACUCCUACGGGAGGCAGCAGUGGGGAAUAUUGGACAACGGGCGAAAGCCUGAUCCAGCAAUGCCGCGUGAGUGAUGAAGGCCUUAGGGUUGUAAAGCUCUUUUACCCGGGAUGAUAAUGACAGUACCGGGAGAAUAAGCUCCGGCUAACUCCGUG